rnacentral:piRNA from 1 species
UGGUAGAAUCACUGCUUGCUUUCCCUGCCUU